rnacentral:rRNA from 1 species
GAUGAACGCUAGCGGCAGGCCUAAUACAUGCAAGUCGGACGGGAUUCAGGAGCUUGCUUCUGAUGAGAGUGGCGCACGGGUGCGUAACACGUAUGUAACCUACCUUUAUCAGGGGGAUAGCCUCUCGAAAGAGAGAUUAAGCCCGCAUAAAAUCACAGCACAGCAUUGUGUAAUGAUCAAAUAUUUAUAGGAUAAAGAUGGGCAUGCGGAACAUUAGCUAGAUGGCGGGGUAACGGCCCACCAUGGCGACGAUGUUUAGGGGAUCUGAGAGGAUGGCCCCCCACACUGGUACUGAGACACGGACCAGACUCCUACGGGAGGCAGCAGUAAGGAAUAUUGGUCAAUGGGCGGAAGCCUGAACCAGCCAUGCCGCGUGCAGGAGGACGGCCCUACGGGUUGUAAACUGCUUUUAUACGGGAAUAAACCCAGAUACGUGUAUCUGGCUGAAUGUACUGUAAGAAUAAGGAUCGGCUAACUCCGUG